rnacentral:rRNA from 1 species
GAUGAACGCUGGCGGCGUGCCUAAUACAUGCAAGUCGAGCGAACAGAUGAGAAGCUUGCUUCUCUGGUGUUAGCGGCGGACGGGUGAGUAACACGUGGGUAACCUACCUAUAAGACUGGGAUAACUCCGGGAAACCGGGGCUAAUACCGGACAAUAUUUUGAACCGCAUGGUUCAAUAGUGAAAGACGGUUUCGGCUGUCACUUAUAGAUGGACCCGCGCCGUAUUAGCUAGGUGGUAAGGUAACGGCUUACCAAGGCGACGAUACGUAGCCGACCUGAGAGGGUGAUCGGCCACACUGGAACUGAGACACGGUCCAGACUCCUACGGGAGGCAGCAGUAGGGAAUCUUCCGCAAUGGGCGAAAGCCUGACGGAGCAACGCCGCGUGAGUGAUGAAGGUCUUCGGAUCGUAAAACUCUGUUGUUAGGGAAGAACAAAUUUGUUAGUAACUGAACAAGUCUUGACGGUACCUAACCAGAAAGCCACGGCUAACUACGUGCCAGCCGCCGCCGUAA